rnacentral:lncRNA from 1 species
AAAAAUGUAAGGAACUAACUAAGAAAAGACGAGUGAAUUCGAAGUAAAAAUAUAUAUAAAUAUGAUCCGAUCAAGAGGAUAAAGCACAACAAACAGAUAUAAUAAAUCCCUUACAUGGCCACCACAAAUAACACAACGCACCAAAACCAUCGGUGAAAAUUGCCAUAAUAGAUUAGUGAUAACAAAUUUGAGACGAAGAACACAAAGAGCCAUUAGUGGUGACAAAGUCGAAAUCGAAGAACACAUAGAUGAUCCAUGCAUCUAUUGUGUCCACUAGGAUGAUUCAACUUUUCGAGAAGAGAAAACGACCACAUAUUAAAUCUAAAUGACCAUCAUUAACCCGUUGAUAAAACAAAUAAUACAUUCAUAAAUUUCAUCAAAUCAAAUCAUGUGUAGGGAUUGGACACCAUUACUAGACCAUUCAGUUAUUCAACUUGCACUUAUCCAAUAGGGAAGUGAUUGAUGCUAGGGUGUAGGGAUUGCUUUCAUAAUGUUCAGUGUUUGUAAUGGUUUAAGGUUCCUAUCCUCGAAAUGUAGUGGCGUUACAUUAGCUUUUUAAAGUUUUAGCUUCAAAUAGAAAAGGUGUUCAUUUGAAUCUAAAAAUUUUCCUUUUGGGAAAAAAAAAUUAGAGAAGUGAUCGUUUCAGAAAGAAAAAUGAUUUCGCACAUUUUUUUCCUUUAGCACACUCUUGUUUAUUUCUGCUCAUUGAUUCUUUUUAUUUAGUUAAUCUAAUGUAAAAGGGUUAGACAGAUCAGCUAGCCCAGUCCAGUCCAAACCCAUUUAAAAAAUGCACGACGCUAUUCAUGAAAAUAGGUUAGGCGGGCUGACCUGCACGACAUAUAAUGACAUUGCUUGACGUGUGCUAGAGACGGCAUGACAGAAUCGGAUUUAUCGCGGCAUUUCUAUUGGGUAGCAUUUCGAAAGGAGAAUACAUUAAAUCAAGGGAACUUAUGGGGAUGCAGCUCGGAGUGACACACCCUGACCCAUAAUGUCCACUAGGACUCCGAAUCGAGCUGUGCUGGCAGACACUUGGAAGGUGACAAAGCCAUAAAGUAUAGUGAUGUAGAAAAUGUGAAUAAGUUUAAAUGUAAAAGUGCCUAAAGACAAGAGUGCUAUGUGAGCAGGAAUGAGCCCAUUUCACAUUCAACAUCAGAGCAUAAGUAUAGUAUAGUAGUGUGGGUAAGGAUCAUACCCACAAAACUGAGAUUCGCUAAGAAUCCUCGUCGAUACGAACUUUCAGUAGCUAAAACCUGGAGGGGCGAAAAAUAAAAGGGUGAGUGGGUAAAGACAAAACGUUUGAAAACACAUUUCUCUUUUCUGAACAUAAUAACCCCUCACUGUAAAACCCGUAUAGUUUACAUAAAAUAAUACUACAUUUAUAUAUAAAGCAAUACACAAAGGUAGUGAACCCAAAAUAUGCCAUGUCAUAACAUAUAAAUCAUGUAAGCCAGGUGUAGAAUCAAUGUAAAAUAACAUGCCAGCCGGAGUCACCUAAUGUGACCUGUACGACUGGACUAUAACUCAUCAACCUAGGCUAGCACAGGAGUCGGAGUCACCUGAUGUGACCUGUACGACAGGCUAGGUAUAAAUAUGUACGCUCAAGAGCUACGAUCACGUGAAGAUUGUGCAAUAAAUCAUGGGUCACCUACGAGUCGGAACCACUUAUUGUGGUCUAUACGACAUGCUGGCACCAGACUUAGAUCUAAGGUGAGUGUGCAGUGCAGGAGGUGAAUAAUUAUGUGAAGGCUGUACCCUAAUCCCCGAGCGGGAACACUAAUACGGAGUGCAGCCCUGAUGAGCUCUAAAUAAAUAUAUGCAUACCAAUGCAACACAACCCAUUCAAUCACAUCAUACUCACCUGAAGCUUACCUGAGUCUCCACAGCAUCACACAAUAUAAUUCACAAGUAUAACAGUGCAAUACUCAAAGUGCAACUCAUUACGACAUGGCAUUCAAAGCAUAAAUCAUUUAAGAAAACGUUCCAAAAAAUGAUUUGAAAGACAGUUGUCCGCGAAAAAAAAAAUGGGUUCUCGCCGAAAUUUCUAGGCAACCUUUUCUAACGGCUAACUCGCCGUGGUUUGGUCAAAAAAUGGUAUGGAAGGUCACGAGUUCGCCAACAAUUGUUUGAGUUCAAAAGAUGGCUGAAAAUUGUCUGAAUUAUGCCUAGAAGUCUCAGCCUAAAACCUUGUUUUUCGAACUCGUGUUUCGGGUUCGUUUUCAAUGAAACAAAAAUCACAUCGGAGUUUAUGGUGGUGAGGACAUGCAGAUAAUGGUGGUUUUGAUGUUCAACAAGCCAAAAUUUUGGUGGUGGUGGUUUGUUUCACGGGAAGAAAGGGAGAGCCGAGAGAGAGUGAGAGAACUCAAGAGAAAGAGAUAACGAGUGAGAAAAUGGAGGAGAUAUAGUUGUGAACACGGAAAAUUCCUGAAAACGAAAGAGACAAGAAACGACGUGCACAAACAAAUAUUUGUAUUUGAUAGUUUUGGGUUACAAUCUCUCUCAAAUUUGAUCCUCUGAUUCGAUCUCCGUAAGGUGUUGAUUUAUGGGUGUUUCGUUGAUUCAAGGGGCCGUCGAGGCUUGAUCUUGGAUGAACAGUUGGAAGUUUCUU